ensembl:lncRNA
AUGUGUUUUUGUCUUUGUUCUAGAAAAAAAAACACUUUAGAAAGUUCUGAUGACGAAACAGACAUUGAGAUGAAGCGACAAUAUGAAAAAGCAAAAGGACAAAAAAAAGUUGCAAAAGGGAGGAUCCUCACUCAGCUGAAGGAUACACUGAGGAAACCACUCCACUCCACUCCAUGCAGAACCAAUCCAUUACAUAGUGAGGAGGAAGUUGAAUCCGAAACGCUGGACACAAACGUGGAUUUGUUCAAUUACCCAGGGAAUUCUCAAUCAACCAAACAAAAAAAGGUUGGAAAGGAGAGGGUCCUCACUCAGCUGAAGGAUACACUGAGGAAACCACUCCACUCUGAUCCACGCAGAACCAAUCCGUUACAUAGUGAGGAGGAAGUUCAAGCCGAAACCGUGGACACAAAUGUGGAUUUGUUCGAUUACCCAGAGAAUUUUCAAUCAACCGAUACCUUAGAUACUGCUGAGGCAAGUGGAGAGAGCGUGGAACAGCCAUUAUUUGUCAGAGGUGAAGUGUUGAAAGCUUUGAAAGAAAUUCCCACCUUAGUGCAGUGUGUCAAGGAACUAAUAUCCUCAAUGAACAGAGGGAUCGAUACAGCAAGCACAAGCUCAGGGUCCUCCAGCUCAGCCCAAGAGAUGGUAUGUUAUUGUAUGUGUUUUGUGAAAUACUAAUCAUUCAAAACAAAAAUUUUAACUCUUAAACUCUGCAGACCCGGUACCGGGUCCGAAAAUAGCAUGCCAGAUGUUUGUGUCUCAUUUGCAUAUCCUUCCUUAUAUGGCAUUUGCCCAGAAAUGGGUUCAUUUGAAAGCUUAGAGUGCUUUCUUUACAAAGAAUACCAUUAAUUGGGGUUUUAUGAUACAUAAAGUAGUCAAAUUAAGCUAAGAAAUAUAUUCCCCCCCCCAUAAAUUUCCAUCUAACGAUUGCGAAUACGUUUUCGUAAGAAUGUGUAUUUAAAAUAUUUUUCACAAAACAGUCAAGUCAUAUAUCACAAGAAAGCUCUCAUUCUCAGGAAUCUGAUGAUGUAGAUCAUUUUAUUGUGUGACAAUCACAGAUCGAAUGAUCUUCAACAGAAUCGCGAUGUAAAAUUUCUCACCUUAUUAUUUAUACAUUUUGCACCGCUUCAGUCAGCCGCAAACAGCCACGCAUACCUAUAUACUCGAUAUAAUCUUUUAGAUUAGAAUCUCUUCUUUCAAACAAGACCAUUUUUACGUUUCUGCGUGCUUCCAUUGCUGAGAUAUAAAGCGUUUUGUACAAGUGCGCAAAAGCGCUCCAAGGGCUGUAUUAUUGAAAAGAUCUUCAAGUCAUAUAGACGGGUCUAAAUGCCUUUCUUCUGCUAUAGACGUCUGUUUUCUUUUGUGAAGCGCUAUUUGUCCUGAUAGGUGCAAUUCACAAGUCGUUCCCUCCAAUCGAAGCUGUGAUUCAGCACCGCGGGGGUGCUGGAACUGGACAGCGACUGCCCACUCCUUUUCCGCUUGUGUGACGCAAUGAUGUCUGGGAAACUGAGUUUUUUGCUGCUUCUAAACAAAGGCCACGCGAGGCAAAACUACUAAUGGCCGAAGCUCCGGAUUUAUAAUGCAUAAUAUUCAUAAAACAAGUUCUGGGUGGCCACCUUCGCCGUGGAGAGGUCAGGAUGCGCAUCUG